UUACGACUUAAUAUCAUAUUUAUAUCAUAUUUUCGUUAUUUAUAUUUAUUUAGAUAUUUAGAAAUAGAAAUGAUCUCAAACUGUUAAUCAAUCGAGUAAUAUGAUAAAUGCGUUGAAUAUUUGUUGGAAGACAUGAAAUAAAUUGAAAAAAAGAAGAAGGGGAAGUCAUAGCAAAAGGACGUGGCAUUGGGGCAUUUGUCCGCCCGAGGAGGGGCUCGCGUCUGAUUAGCUAGUUGGUGAGGCAAUAGCUUACCAAGGUGAUGAUCAGUAGCUAGUCCGAGAGGAUGAUCAGCCACACUGGGACUGAGACAUGGCCCAGACUCCUACUGGAGGCAGUAGUGGGGAGUUUUCUGCAAUGGGCGAAAGCCUGACGGAGCAAUGCCGCAUGGAGGUAGAAGGCCUACGGGUCAUGAACUUCUUUUCUCGGAGAAGAAGCAAUGACGGUAUCUGGGGAAUAAGCAUUGGCUAACUCUAUGCCAACAGCCGCGGUAAUACAGAGGAUGCAAGCGU
rnacentral:lncRNA from 1 species